rnacentral:lncRNA from 10 species
GGGUGUUGUGGGGACUAAAAAAUAGAUUGCUAUCUGGCUUUAAAAAGAAUCUGUUCAAAUUAGUAUCUUCAGAGGCAUCCAUUGGCUUCUCUGGAACUUAGCUAUCGGUCAGAUGUUAACAAUAAGAUGUCAUUCGUUCUUGGUACCACGGUUGCCUCAAGGCUGGCUGCUGCUUUUCUUGUUUCUCCUCUGCCACUCCUGAGAGCAUACAGAUUCUUCUACAGCUCCUGGGGACCAGGAAAUCUCUGUGAACUUG